CCAUUAAAUGGUUGGUCUAUAUCGGCAUGGUCCAAUUGACAUCUUGUCUACGCAUUGUAAACAGCUUUUACAAGAUAAAUACGUUUUCUAAGGAAUUAUCACUUCAGUGGACUUAAUGCCGUGGACAAGAUUGUUUGAAAGUGAUAUGGCACAAUGGGAAAACGACUAAAUCACCUCUGACAAUGUGUAAGGUAAACGUCAGAUUUUAAUGCAGUGAUCUUGAAUGGACAUACACAGCAGUGUGUACAGAAAUCCUUUUGUGGAAUUGAAUAAGAAUAAAAUAGUGAUCAAUGGAUUGAUAUGCCUAGACCUGAUUUGUGAGGCCAUAAAACAUGGGUGAAAUAUUUAUGAUUUUCAUAUUUCCCUGGACUUUGGAGUGCGGUGGUAUGGAGAGUCUGUAAUUCCGCGUAACAUCGGGUGUGUGUGUGAUAGAACACCACAUUUAUUUUCGAGGAUUUACCUCUGGUGAUUUACUUUUUCGUAUAUUCAAUCUGAUUCCUUGGAUUUUAACAAUGGCUGGACCAUAAACCACGGGACUGGUAUAGAAUUCACAGACUUAACCCUCUGGUCGUCAAACCACGGGACUGAGGAAACUGAGAGGGUAGAUAAUGGCAGGAUUCGUAAAGAAAUGCCCGUGUUUGAGGCCGAAGAUUCAGGAAGAAAUUUACGAGUUGGAUUAUCGACACUGCAAUCUUACCGAUGUCCCAGCCCAGGUGUUCAACUUUGAGCGGACAUUAGAGGAACUUUACUUGGAUAACAACCAGAUACAGGAUCUACCCAGGGAGUUGUUUUGUUGCCAUGGUAUCAGGAAGCUGUGUUUAAGUAAUAAUGAAGUGACCAAUAUUCCGCCGGCCAUUGGGAGUCUGAUCAACUUGGAGGAUUUAGACGUCAGCAAAAACGGUAUCAUAGAUAUCCCAGAAAACAUCAACUGCUGUAAAUGUCUGAGGGCCGUCAACGCCAAUGUAAAUCCGCUCGGAAAGUUACCAGAAGGGCUGACCCAGCUAGCCAACCUGACACAGCUCUUUCUCAACGAUACGUUUCUGGACUAUCUACCGGGGACCUUUGGCAGAUUACUGAAGCUGAAGGUACUGGAGAUUCGAGAAAACCACCUGAAAACUCUCCCCAAGUCCUUCUCCAUGCUGACUUCUCUCGAGAGACUGGACAUCGGCCACAACGAAUUCACAGAGCUGCCUGACGUGAUUGGGAACUUGACCAGUCUGUUGGAACUAUGGUGUGACCACAAUCAGAUCACAACUCUCACCUCUACCAUUGGUAACCUGAAACGCCUGAUGUUUCUGGAUGCCUCCUCCAAUCAUUUACAAUCACUUCCUUCAGAGCUAGAAGGCUGCUCCUCAUUGGGUGAUCUGCACUUAACAACCAAUAGGAUUCAGGCUCUUCCAGAAUCUUUGGGUAACUUGGAGAGUUUGACAACACUGAAAGUUGACAACAAUGAGUUAACAUCAUUACCAUCUACCAUAGGGGGAUUACAAUCCCUGUCAGAACUGAACGUCAGCUGUAACAAUCUAGAGGACCUGCCUGCCAGCCUGGGGCUUCUCAGAAAUCUACGCACAUUCUACGCAGAUGAGAAUUAUCUCCUCUUCAUUCCAGCAGAGCUUGGGAGUUGUAAUGGAAUUACUGUGCUUUCUCUGAGGAGCAAUCGCUUGGAAUACAUCCCGGACGAGAUCGGACGAAUCCCGAGACUUCGCGUCCUAAACCUGAGUGAUAAUCUGCUCAAGUACCUGCCAUUUACAAUCACUAAGCUUAAGGAUCUCCAAGCUCUAUGGCUGGCCGAGAACCAGACGUGUCCACUCAUCCCUCUGCAGUCUGACCAUGACCCAGAUAAUGGGAGGAAGUUUCUGACCUGCUACCUCCUGCCCCAGUUAGGGGAUGUUGAUGGACCCAAUGAUUCAGGUCAGGGUGGUGACACAGACAGUUUCCACGCCUCCAUGUGGGACGAGGAACGAAGUCGGCGUCAGAUCAUUCACUUCGCUUUUCCGGAAGAAGAUGAGGAGGAGGGUACGCUGGUCAGGUGUCCAACCCCAUAUCCAAAAGACAUACGAGAAAAAAUCCGACAUGCUCGUAACUUGGCGAUGAGGCAAAAACUGAGCGGACCAGCUGAUGUGAGAUGGAGUGGGGGUCGAGAUAACAAGGGAUAUGAGGAGGAGACCUCUGCAUUGGUUAAUGGUAACCAUGGUGAUGGAGACCUGACGCGACCUCCCUACCCAGUAUCACCGGUUGCCGGCCAUCGUCUUUAUCAGUGUGAUAAGGAGAAGCUUGCAAAAGACAAAGCUAGACUUCAGCGUCAUCAGACAGACCAGGAGGCGGAGAGAGAGGUCGCUAGGUCAAGGUCACCAUCAAGGGAGGUAACCUCAGCUGACAAACCACAGCCAGCACCUCGUAAAGGAAAAGAGAAGAACAAGAAAAUAAAGGCGGAAGAUGGAGGAUUUUCUGAGAAAGGACACACCAUGUGUCUCGGAUCGAACCCGGAUAUUUCUAAUCAGAAAGAUCUCUCGGCACCAAACACUCCCGUGUCAAAGCGAACCCCGGCCUUCACUUACUGCUCUCCAUCAGAACUCUCCAAUAGACUGUCACAGUUCAGUGAUCCACGGAGUUCUAACGGAUACCCGUCUUAUCAGCCUAGUCCUUCAGGAAAAUCUCACCGUACCCGAGAUUACGAUUCCGACACGGGAUAUCGCAGCGAGUCCGAGUUCAUCAGACUUCAGAGGCAGCAGAUGUAUAAUCAGCAGGGAUUUGUGAGGGGAGGAUAUGAAAGUGAUAAAGACGGUUUUACCCCGAGGAAGGAGCGCCCCCGGGAGGGAGGGUACUACAGUGAUGUGGAGGGCUACUCAGGGAGGGUCAAAGUGGCCUCCUACCGCUCAGGGCCUGUUCCCCAUCAUCAACAAACCUCCGGAAGUGUUCAGUAUCACAGGAAUCAAAAUACGUCCUCACAACUUUAUGGGUCGUCCAAUCAAAACAGGAAUUUCCAAAAGAUGCCAGGUGUGAGUGCUGCUGCACCAAGAGACAAGAUGUCUGCCCCUGGUGUUCGGUCUUUAGAGACUCCAGGGUUCAGUGACAAUGGUUACAACCCUCCUUCGUCCCCCAUGUUUCACCACAGUAAGAUCGUUGAUCAGAGUACACCGGUGUCCAGUGAGGCCCCCCAUGGGUUCGGGUUCACCAGCCGGUCACGGUCUGGCAGCGACAGCGGAAGUGCCAGUCAGGAAGAACAUGCCAAGUCAGCGGACUGGAGGCGAGAUUUCUACUCAGUGAUGGAACAGAAAAUGUCACAGUCCAAACCCAAUCAUCAGGUAAAUGAUCUACCUUCCAAGGACCGCCCUCCCUCAUACAAAGCCUCCCCGACUUACACCUCCGUGGCACAUAGAAAGCUUCCCCCCACCCCCAACAGAAACUCUCCCUAUGGUGUGAUUAACAGUGACAGAAGAAACAUGAAUUCUCCCUCGAUGUACCAGCGUAUUUCUGACCUCGCAAUCAGUGAACAGAGUGCUCGAGAUCACCGUUCAGAAUCUCCCUAUCAGAGACUUCCGUUAUCUCGUCAGAGUCCGAGUCAGCAGGAUUACAGACAGAGCGAGAUGUUGUACACCCAGGACGUGACCCGCAUUCCGAACUUAAGUGAAAACACUUCGUGUGCGACCCCUUCCUCCCAAAUUCUAGUCCCUAGUAGUGCGAACUCCAAGUACCCACAGCACGAUCAUGACUCGUCUCAGUCAUCUGGUUUCAGCAGUGACACUUCAAAAUCCAGACCUUAUAAUCCCCUACCUCCUAAACUUAACCACGUGUCCGGUGAUCGACCUCCAGCUGAGAGGUCAGGGACACCUGUGUUUGUGAACUGUGAGGAGGAGAGGGGGGAUUCCCCGCGAGAGUCCGGUUACAGUAGUCGGGAACACAGCAGCCACAGAAAUUCUCCGUGCGACACGCUCUUACCCCAGGGACAAUACACGGACCAGGCUGAGGAUUUUAAAAACUCAGGCUCGUCCUGUGAGGACAUCGCUACGUAUAAACAUAAUCUGCAGAUGUCGCAGGCCCGUGUACCAAGGCUUCUAGAGAAUAGUCCACGGAUGUACAGGUCUGCCAAAUACUCAGGGUAUCCAAUGGCCCCACCCAGUAGACCCCCUCCCUCUCCUUUCACCGGUCAGCUUCCACACUCAUCUGAUCAUCAAUCCCAUAAUCCACAUCAUCAAUCUCAUAAUUCACAUCAUCAGUCCCACAAUCCACAUCAUCAAUCCCAUAAUCCACAUCAUCAAUCCCAUAAUCCACAUCAUCAAUCCCAUAAUUCCACACCACAUCGUCAAGGCAACCACUCUCUGGCAAGGGAAAUGACUCCAGAUCAUUCAUCACAUGUACAGCAAGCUCCAUCACAAUAUCAGGAGAGAGGCAUGGCAGGUCUCAUUUCGACUGUCAAUCAUCCCCAUAGUAACCAUAGUAACUACUAUCACUCGGGCGACAAUGUGAGUCCCACCCGAGAGAAGUUGAUGUUGCAGGGUUUUAUGAUGAACCCAGGAAAGUCGUCGGUCAUGUUGCUUUUGACUAGGGCUGAAACGAUUCACCGAAAUAUCGAUACUGUUCAAUAUAAACCCUCGAUUCAAUGUUCAGUUCAUUGCCUCAAUUUUCGGUUCGAUAUGUUUAUUACAAACUGGUUCAGUAAAAUACAUCAGGUUCAGCCUGUAAUGAUUAUUUUAUCUGCAUGGGGGACAAAAUAGCAUCAAAUAAAGUUCAGACUGUUGUUUACUUUGAGUCUUACGAAAAUAAUGAUACACUUCAUCAGUUUAAGCUACAGAGCCAACAUGCAUCUUACCAUUUGGCAGUUUGGAAACAUUUUGCUUUUAAAUUUAUGAAUGUGAAUCUUGGUAAUUAAAUUUUUCUUCAAUGUUAUUUUUGGUUUCUUCUGUAAAUUGUAUCCUAUUGAAAAUAUUGAAUCGUGGCAUAAAUAUUGCAAUAUGUAUUGUAUUGUGAAGGGGCGUAUCGUUUCAGCCCUACUUUCUUUUCAGUAGAGUCUUUAUCACACAAUAAAGUGGAUAAUUAACGGCUUUCUCUCUCAGCUGACACACAAAAAAGUGGAUAAUUAACGGCUUUCUCUCUCAGCCGAAAUGUCCACGGUAAAACAACUCCAUUGGGCCAAAAAUAAAAAUAUGUUUGUUUCCCCUCGCCCCGACCGGGUCAAAAAAAAGGGCCCGGGUCAAAAGUUUUUUUGCCAAAAAAUUGCGAUGUUUUUUUUUUUUUAUUUCCGUAAAAAAAUCGUGUCCGCUCCGUGUCGGUUCUAGACGUUACUUCUGCUUUUUUCGGAAGUUACCGGGAUGGACGGCGACCAUAACAUAGACAAGUUGGACGAAGUAACUGUCACCGUGUCGGACAAACUUGCCAACGGUGUAACUUUUGAGCCAGAUUUUGAAGAACAGAUACAAGUGGUUCACAACUUUGAUAAAAAAUUGAAAUAUGUACAAUUUGACGUGAUAAGAGACUUAGAACCAAAUAACAAUGUACCAAAAGGUCAAAAUCCUCCUACAUGUCCUACAGCUUUCGAUGUUUUGAUGAGAAAGUCCAGCACACUGACAAAGCUCCCUCAAAAGAUUGAUGAAGCCUCUCCCAGAUUUACAGGUAAUUUAUAUGCAUUAUUAUAUUUCUAUCAAGUAGGUUUGAGAUGGUGUAUGGCUCAUGUCUUAAAGUUAUAAAUGAGUCUGUCCCACACCAUUUCAUUUCUUUCUUCAAUGUUCCCAAACUUUUGGUCUGGGGAAAUUUAUGGUAGGGGGUGUAAAAACGGUAAAUUCCUAGGGGAAGUGCUGCCCAAAUUUUUUUCAACAUUGGACUUUGUCAUUUUUUCACAUUUUAAAGGGUCGCAGCUAUACAUUUGUGAGGGGGUGGACAGGGGUGUCUCCAAUUCCCUCGAGAUUUAAGAGCCUUGAAGCACACAACAGAUAAAUAUGACUACACUUGCGGGGCAAUUUUAGCACCAGAAGGGGAUGUUCUACACGGAAAAGUUUUCACAAGACUCCAGCUUGCAUGUACCAGUCACAUUGAAUUUGCAUACUACAGCUCGGAUGUUGGCCGCAAAGACAUAUGUGCAUAUUGUGUUGCAACAGAGAUCCAAAAGGACAAGGACUUGUGCAAAAACUUUAAAGUUGUGCUGCCAGUUUGUGACUUGUGUCGUUCAAAAAAAUUAGAAGUCCCAAAGAGAAAUCCAAUUAAGAAAUAGUUAAUUCUAGUCUGACAAUCAGUUAAUUCUAGUCUGAUAUUCAUCCUCUCUAAGUCAUUCUUUUUAACAUGUUGUUUAUGAUUUUUGUUUCUACUUGUUUCUAGUCAAGAAUAAAUGUUUUUUGUUUAUUUUCA